UUAUUAGGAGUGUAUAACUCUUAAUACUCAGGUAUAAUCCAAUUCAAUGGAAACCACACAUAGAGCAAAAGGGUUAAUUCCGACUCGAUGUCGGUAUUCAGUACACACAGGGACAGCAAAAGCUCGGCCUAUCGAUCCUUUUGGUUUAAGGAGUUUUUAACAAGAG
rnacentral:ncRNA from 2 species